rnacentral:lncRNA from 1 species
CAGCUCUGGGGCUCAUGGACUUCUCUGUUCUGGUUCUUAAUCCUCGUGUUGGUGAGGCAAGGUGGCUCACCCUGAUCCCUGGCUGUCUGAAUAACACGCUCACCUUCAAUUCCCCACCUUCUCUCCAAAAGAGACUUUGAUCGAUGACUCUGACAUUCCUUUCGUGGCAAAAUGAAACGUUCAGUUGGAAAACUGCAAACAGGCUCGUGACCCUGGACAAGCCUCCAAUUUCCUCACCUUGAUUUCUGCAAAAGUCUCCUUGACUGGUGUCCUGCAUCUCCUCUCUCGCUGAGUCUUCUCAGAGCAGCCAGAGGGGGCUUUGGAGAAACAAAAACAGACCUUGCACCCCCAGGUCAUCUUCUUAGGCAAGGGCUGGAGGGGACUUGGCUGGGCACCACAAGCUGCAAG